AAACCCGCACGCCGAAAGACCAAGGUUUCCCCAGCUAUGCUAAUCAGCUGGGGGUCAGUCGGGACCUAACGCGAACCCGGAAGGGGUAGUGGAUGGACAACAGGUUAAUAUUCCUGUACCUGCAAUAAAUUAAAAGUGACGGGGCAUCGGAGUUGGUGCGUGCUGACGGAAUAGCACGUUGAAGCGUAAG
rnacentral:rRNA from 1 species